rnacentral:rRNA from 1 species
GAUGAACGCUAGCGGCAGGCCUAACACAUGCAAGUCGAGGGGUAGCAGGGUAGCAAUAUCGCUGACGACCGGCGCACGGGUGAGUAAUGCGUAUGCAACCUUCCUUUAACUGGGGCAUAGCCCGGAGAAAUUCGGAUUAAUACCCCAUAACAUCAUGAAAAGGCAUCUUUUUAUGAUUAAAGCUCCGGCGGUUAAAGAUGGGCAUAUGUGCCAUUAGCUUGUUGGUGAGGUAACGGCUCACCAAGGCUACGAUGGCUAGGGGGUCUGAGAGGAUGAUCCCCCACACUGGUACUGAGACACGGACCAGACUCCUACGGGAGGCAGCAGUGAGGAAUAUUGGGCAAUGGGCGCAACCCUGACCCAGCCAUGCCGCGUGAAGGAUGAAUGCCCUAUGGGUUGUAAACUUCUUUUGUACGGGACAAAACUCCUGGUCGUGACCGGGAUUGAUGGUACCGUACGAAUAAGCAUCGGCUAACUCCGUGCCAGCAGCCGCGGUAAUACGGAGGAUGCAAGCGUUAUCCGGAUUCAUUGGGUUUAAAGGGUGCGUAGGCGGAAUAGCAAGUCAGCGGUGAAAGCCUGUGGCUUAACCAUAGAAAUGCCGUUGAUACUGUUAUUCUUGAGUGUAGUUGAAGUGGGCGGAAUGUGUAAUGUAGCGGUGAAAUGCUUAGAUAUUACACAGAACACCAAUUGCGAAGGCAGCUCACUAAGCUAAUACUGACGCUGAGGCACGAAAGCGUGGGGAGCAAACAGGAUUAGAUACCCUGGUAGUCCACGCCGUAAACGAUGAUCACUCGUUGUUGGCGAUACACCGUCAGCGACUGAGCGAAAGCAAUAAGUGAUCCACCUGGGGAGUACGGUCGCAAGACUGAAACUCAAAGGAAUUGACGGGGGCCCGCACAAGCGGAGGAACAUGUGGUUUAAUUCGAUGAUACGCGAGGAACCUUACCUGGGCUUGAAAGGGGAACGACCUCCCGGGAAACCGGGAUUCUCUUCGGAGCGUUCUCCUAGGUGCUGCAUGGUUGUCGUCAGCUCGUGCCGUGAGGUGUCGGGUUAAGUCCCAUAACGAGCGCAACCCCUAUUGUUAGUUGCCAGCGGGUAAUGCCGGGAACUCUAACGAAACUGCCGGUGUAAACCGAGAGGAAGGUGGGGAUGACGUCAAAUCAGCACGGCCCUUAUGUCCAGGGCUACACACGUGUUACAAUGGCCGGUACAAAGGGCAGCUAUGCCGCGAGGCAAUGCUAAUCUCGAAAACCGGUCUCAGUUCGGAUCGAAGUCUGCAACUCGACUUCGUGAAGCUGGAUUCGCUAGUAAUCGCGCAUCAGCAACGGCGCGGUGAAUACGUUCCCGGGCCUUGUACACACCGCCCGUCAAGCCAUGGAAGCUGGGGGUACCUGAAGUCUGCAACCGUAAGGAGCGGCCUAGGGUAAAACCAGUGACUGGGGC